rnacentral:rRNA from 1 species
GACGAACGCUGGCGGCGUGCCUAAUACAUGCAAGUCGAACGCAGUGGGGACGGGUGAGUAACACGUGGGUAACCUCCCAUCAGAGGGGAUAACACUUGGAAACAGGUGCUAAACCGAUACUGAUGGAUGGACCCGCGGUGCGUUAGCUAGUUGGUGAGGUAACGGCUCACCAAGGCCAGGAUGCAUAGCCGAGCUGAGAGGAGGAGCGGCCAACCUGGGACUGAGACACGGCCCAGACUCCGACGGGAGGCAGCAGUGGGGAAUCUUCGACAAUGGAGGAAAGUCUGACCGAGCAACGCCGCGUGAAUGAAGAAGGUUUUCGGUGCGUAAAGCUCUGUUGUUAGAGAAGCGGUAUCUAACCAGAAAGCAACGGCUAACUACGUGCCAGCAGCCGCGGUAAUAC